UAUCAACAGAUCAUAUGCUCUUGUUACAUAGUCUCACGAUAACGAUUAUACACAAAUCUGUGGUGUAAUAUAACUGUAGCAGCUAUGUGGUGUAGCUUAUACCAACAUGUACUGUGUGCUCUGGACUUUGUAGGUGAAGGCAGCAUAGGUCACUACAAAAAGCUUUCAUGGUCAACAUUUGUGUGACUGUAAAGCAAAAAAGUUUUUAAGGAAUUCAUAGAUAAAACUUUAUGAAUCUCUCGGGUGGGUUCAACCUAGCAUGCAUAUUAAUUUGCCUUACAAUAAACACACUGACAUUAUUUGGAACUUGAAUUGAAUGGAUUAAGCCUAGUGCUAGACUCAUAGUUGGACUGCCCAUCGGGCAUACCGGCCAUUUGCCCGGUGGGCCGAUGGUGAUUUUUCGUUUUUAUGGGCCGAUGGAUUUUUGUUGUUGUUUUUUUCUAUAACGGUACAAAUAAUGAAAGGUGGUGGAUUGGCCAGAUGCUGGCCGGUGUGUAAAAAUAAGUCAGUUGUUUGGUGGUGGCUAUGCAACAUUCAGCAUCUGAUCCUUGUUCGUCUGUGUGCUUCUGCGUUUGGUAAGUAUAGUUACCUAACUACACCAACUAUAACGCAGUCCCUCUAAACACAUGCUGCCAUCCAUUUCUAACUACCUGGUUACUUCCUGUCAGUAUUUUACAAACCAUGUGGUCACCUGACCCAACUCUGCUUCUUCUUGUUCCCUUUAAUGUUGAAGUGUCAAAUGUCAAACACCUGGAAAGGAAACUACACCAGUGCACUGGGAUGUUUCCCCAACUCGUGCCAGACGCUGUUCCUGCCUGUGAAGGUAACAUCAGCAGAGACAGCCCGCCUACCUCAGGACUUCGCCAAGUCACGUAUUGAUCACGAUGGUUAUGAAGAUGACAGCGAGCGGAAGACUGUAAAAAUCCACCACCAGAAUGUUUAGAUGCUUUCUAAUUAUUAAUGAAUAUCGUGUUUGUGUGUUUUGGGUUUUGUUUUUUUGGCCUCAUUUGUUACUAACAAAGGUCACCAAGCUCAGUUUACAUUCUGUAUGUGUUUUCAUCUUUAGCAGCCACACUCUGACUGCAAUUAAGAAAAACACAAACUUUUAAAUAUUGAAGGGGUUCAGGUAGAGCCGGCUUAUGAAUUACUAUGAACACUUACCAUACUGUACCUGUACAACAUGUUUUUGUAUGAGACAGAUUUGUAACAGAGGCCUUAGUCUCAGUAAGUUUGAAGUCCUUUCCUGAUUUAUUUUGCAAUCUCUGCUCUUUCAUUGAUGAUAAUUCAGUGCUGCUUCCCUUUUUCCCAACGACCGAGACUGUCGGAGUCGGGGCUCGAACCGGCAACCUUCCAAUUAGAAGACAAACUGCCACGAUCGCCCAUAAAGUGCAAGUGUUCCUGAGUGUUAACAGCACAGUUAACGUUCAAUCAGGGUGGAGGGUGCGAGGGGUCCUUGAUGAUGAUGAUACUGGCUUUCCGCUGAAGUCUGCCAGUAUAAAUGUCUUUGAGGGGGAUUAGUGAAGUGCCAAUUGCCCGCUCUGGCACCCUCACCACCCGCUGAAGUUUCCUCUUUGUCCUCCACAGUACAGCAGUUGAACCAAAGUGUGCAGCCGUAGGUCAGAAGAACAUAUGAGACACUUUGACUGUUCAGUGCAGUGUGGAGUCUAACAAAGGUCUGUUUUGUGUCCCAGCUGAUCAGCAGGAGGAGAAAAGUCUGAGGGAGCAGCAGAGGAACAUUUUCAGCCGUUUGCACUCAGCUCAGCUACUACAGAGAAAAUGAUGAGCUCAACACAGAAGGACCAACAUGGACCGAAAAGUCAGCGCUCUCAGGAGGCCGACAAACCUCACAGAAGAAAGAGAGAGAAAAACUACAGCUGUGACCAGUGUGGGAAGGAUUUUUCUCGCAAAGCUUCACUAUCAAGGCAUCAAGUCAUCCACACUGGAGAGAGACCGUUCAGCUGUGACUUGUGUGGAAAGUCUUUUCCCUGGGAUAGUUGCCUAAGAAAACACCAACUCUUCCACAGUGGAGUUAAAGCGUACAGCUGUGAUCAGUGUGACAGAGCUUUUGAUCGCAGUUGCAGCUUACAGAGGCAUCUGGUUACCCACUCUGGAACUAAGACAUAUAGCUGUGACAUUUGUGGAAAAACUUUCAGUCGGCGAGACAGCCGAAAUAAACACCUACGCAUUCACACCAGACAUGUUGUGUACUGGUGUGAUCGGCGUGGCCAACGGUUUAUAACAGAUGCACAGUUACAAAGCCACAUGUUUACCCACACUGAGGAGAAACCUUAUAAAUGUGACCUGUGUGAGAAGACUUUUGAACUGAAAAAGUAAUUGGAGUAAAAAAAGCAGAGCGACGCAGAUGGAUCCAGUUCUCAACCCUGUCAUCGCUGUGGUGGUGGGAAAGACUUUUGUUGUGACCUUUGUGGAAAAUCUUUCGGUCAUGCAAAGAGCCUAAAAAUACAUCAACGUAGACACACUGGAGAGAAACUGAAAUACUGCAAAGAAUGUGGGAGAAGCUUCACCAGAUCACAUGAGUUAAAACACCAUGAAGUCAUUCACAGUGGGGUUAAAAAGCACCUCUGUGAUCAGUGUGGGUCAUCGUUCACCACUGCAGGUGAGCUUAAAACACAAACGAGUCCACACAGGAGAGAAACCAUACAAGUGCAGUCACUGUGACAAAAGCUUCUCACAAUCAAGUAGUCGUAACCAUCAUGAACAUACCCACGUGGAAGGAAACUACAGCUGUGACCGGUGUGACAAGACUUUCAGGAAUCUCAGUUCAUACUCUGAACACAAACGAUCCCACGCUGCAGAUAAACUGUUUCACUGCUACAAAUGUGCAAAAACCUUCACUUCACUAUCUGCUCUGUGCAAACAUCAGCGUGAUCACGCGGGGCGGAAAUCAUUCCCAUCUCCGGAUCACGGUGAAUCUGGUGUCAGGAUCAGACUUAAAACUGUUGAGAUCAGGCUCCACAGAGUUCAGCUGGAAUCUCAUGUAAAGAACUGAUGAGGCUGCUGUAAAUAUAAAUGUUCCUGCAGUUACAUCUUAAGCUUUCUAAACUCUUCUACUUUAGUGUUCUUAUCGAGUGGUUAGCUUUGUUUUGUUGGAAGAAGAAAUCUGUUGUUAUGUAAUCAAGUUGUUAUUGAAUGUAUUUUGAUCCAUGUGUUCUGUAGGUGUUCUUUGUUCAGGCUGUCUGUGUUAUGAAACGUUGCAACGGUUAAAUAAAAAAUCCAAAUGUUCAAUAAAGAAAUGGUUUAAUGACA